rnacentral:rRNA from 1 species
UGGGGAAUAUUGCACAAUGGGCGCAAGCCUGAUGCAGCAACGCCGCGUGAGGGACGACGGCCUUCGGGUUGUAAACCUCUUUUAGUAGGGAAGAAGCGAAAGUGACGGUACCUGCAGAAAAAGCACCGGCUAACUACGUGCCAGCAGCCGCGGUAAUACGUAGGGUGCGAGCGUUGUCCGGAAUUAUUGGGCGUAAAGAGCUCGUAGGCGGUCUGUCGCGUCUGCUGUGAAAACCCGAGGCUCAACCUCGGGCCUGCAGUGGGUACGGGCAGACUAGAGUGCGGUAGGGGAGAAUGGAAUUCCUGGUGUAGCGGUGGAAUGCGCAGAUAUCAGGAGGAACACCGAUGGCGAAGGCAGUUCUCUGGGCCGUAACUGACGCUGAGGAGCGAAAGCGUGGGGAGCGAACAGGAUUAGAUACCCUGGUAGUCCACGCCGUAAACGUUGGGCGCUAGAUGUGGGGACCAUUCCACGGUUUCCGUGUCGCAGCUAACGCAUUAAGCGCCCCGCCUGGGGGUACGGCCGCAAGGCUAAAACUCAAAGGAAUU